GGUUACAGUCAUGUUCAAUGCUGACAGAAAAUCAACACCUUGGGUAGCUUCAGAGAGCCAUUUUUGGCUAAUUUACUUCCUCUGGCCCAAUCCACUCCCCCGCCUUUCUUCUGGAGGACUGAGGUGAACGCUGGUUCUAUUCAAGACUUCAUCAUAUCAUUGGAGCCAAAAGGACCAUGAAGAAAUCUUUGUAACUUUGGGACAAGAAAGUUAAAGACUUACAUUGUCACUCUUAGAUGAUUUUCAGUUGGUUUAAUUCUUCCAGGAAAAAAAAAUGUACAAGUAAAAGUCAUAUCAGAGUUUAUGAAAUAAAAAGGAAGAAAAACAAAACAAACAAACCAACAAAAACCCUACCAACCACUAACUGGAACUUCAGAAAAAUCAUACAACAUGAAAUUUAAUAUGAGUAACACUUCCUGUUUUGGUACAAAUGGUUCAAGAAAGAUGGAGCUAGCAAGUAAUUUGUAGUGCAGAUAGUUUGUCCUUUCUACUCAAAAAAUUAGUCUGACUCUUCAUUUUUUAAACAGAGAAAAUUCACACUGUUUAGCACUGUUCUCUCAGGUCAAUUGAAAGCUACCAUAAGUGUGAAAGACUAUAUGUCCUCUAUGCAACAAGAACAAAAGCUUUCAUAAGCCCUAAAUAUUGUUUCAUUCAGGAAGUUAUUCUUAUGUGUAUGUUUCCACAAGUAUUAUCAGUAGAAUUAGAGGUAGCAGCAAUAUCCACAAGUUGUUUGGUUUCCUUCCCACACUAUCAGACACUGAAACAACAAAGAUGAAAUGUUGUGGGAAACGCCUUUAAUUGCAACACAAGUGGCUUUCCAGAAAAGAUUUAAGGAAAUUGUCUUUAAAGCAGAACUGUUGAAGGGAUGUAAGAGGGAUUUUUGCAUGAAAUGUUUUAUUUGUGUAGCGCAUUUUAAGGACACCUUGGUCCAAAUUCUUUCCUGGUGUUAUGAUACUGAAGAUGUGUUCGGGCCAGUGGACCAUAUUCUGAUCUUAGUUAUGUUAGUGUAACUUUCAAAGGAGAUUUUUCUGGAUUUAUGCUGAUGUAACUGAAUUAAAGCAACCAAAAAUCUUUACAGAUUAUGGGUCAUCUCUGAAAAAGUAUUCUUGUGAGUGGUUUCAUUAAGGCGAAAUUGAUGCUUGUAAUCUCUGUUGGGUCAGAGGUUACUGGCUAUGGUGUAUAAGCAGAAAAGAGCCAAACUUGCUUUACAGAUCUCAGAUUGUUUUUUCAGGAUUCACAGUUACAAAAAAACAUAUUUUUACUUGUAAUUUAAACAAAUUUGAUAAUCGUGUAAUUAAGAAACAAUAAACAUGGAAUGCCACAGUACCA